GCACGUGAAGGUAUAGACCUCACUGGUAAAAUUAAAUACAUGGACAAAUCCAGAAUACUAUAAUACUGUAAUUGCGGUGUGCAAUGCAUUCAUAACUUGAGUAUGAGGCCCAAAAGACAGCUCUAUCAAAAACAGUAAUACCCACAGUGACUUGUUAAGAGAUAGGCAAUAUAAAAAUCUGUAAAUUGAAACAACAUAAAGUUAAAAUGUGGAGGGGGAUGGAGUUAGUGUAGAGGGUUUUCAUUUUUCCUUUGUUUGUUUCUAUUCUUUGUGACAUAAGUCUUCAUCUCUUUAAAAUAAUAAAACAUCCAAUAUCUAUAAGAUAUUUUUGUAGCUUCAUGGUAACCACAAUGCAAAAGUUUAUAAGAGAUUCACUAAAAAUUAAAAAAGCAAUAAAUUAAACAUACUACCAGAGAAAAUCACUUAGCCACAAAGGAAGACAUUAAAAAAAAAAAAAAAACGAAAAUGGGAGUUACAAAACACCUAGAAAACAAGUAACAAAAUGGCAGUAGUAAGUCUCUACUUAUCAAUAAUAACAUGGAAUGUAAAUGCACUCAAUUUUCCAAUUACAAGGCACAGAAUGGCCAAAUAGAUGAGGAAACAAGAUUAAACCAUAUGCUGCUUACAAGAAACUGACUUCAUCUAUAAAGACACAAACUGAAAGUCAAGGGUUGGAAAAAGAUAUUUGAUGCAACUAGAAACAAACAAAUAUCAGUAGUAGCCAUACUUAGAUAACAUAGGCUACAAAUAAAAGACUGU
rnacentral:lncRNA from 10 species